AUGAGGAAGAAGGCAAUGAUGGAGAUCGGUGGAAGGUGGCGGCGAAGAGAGUGGGGAGGAGGUGGGCAUUCGCAAGGGCUUGAGAAGGGUUGGAAGAAAAAAAAAUUCUUUUCCUUUCUUUCUCUUUUUUGGAGAUGUGGGAAGCAAAGCACAUGAGGGAGAUUGGAGGGGAAGGCUGACAUCGAUGAUGAUGGGGAAGAAGGUGACGGUGA
rnacentral:lncRNA from 1 species